ensembl:lncRNA
GCCGGUGAAACUCUUCAAGUCUCCAGCACCUCCGAAGAGAGGCCCUGGGGCAGGAAGGAUGUGUUUCCAGUCCUGACUGAAUCACUUUUUCUUACAUCAUAACAGAUUCCUUUCUGGGCCUGCAACUGCCUGAAGGUUGGAAAAUCAGCUGUAUCUGUCUGACUAUAUUGGCAAGACCUUCUAAAACAUCAUUAAUAAUAGCAUCACUAUAGGUUUUUGGAUGCCAGAUGUAUGGGAUCUUAGCUUCCAGACCAGGGAUUGAACCUGCACCCCCUGCAUUGGAAGACUAAGUCUUAACCACUGGACUGCCAGG